rnacentral:rRNA from 1 species
GACGAACGCUGGCGGCGUGGAUUAGGCAUGCAAGUCGAACGGUAUCAUCCUUUCGGGGGUGAGAGAGUGGCGAACUGGUGAGUAACACGUAGGUUAUCUACCCUCAAGACGGGGGACAACCCAGGGAAACUUGGGCUAAUACCGGAUGUGAGCAACUUUUAGUUGUUUGAAAGGUGGCGUAAGCUGUCGCUUGGGGAUGAGCCUGCGUCCUAUUAGUUAGUUGGUGAGGUAACGGCUCACCUAGGCAAUGAUAGGUAGGCGGCCUUAACGGGUGGUCGCCCACACUGGGAUUGAGAUACGGCCCAGACUCCUACGGGAGGCAGCAGUCGAGAAUAGUCUACAAUGGUCGGAAGACUGAUAGUGCGACGCCGCGUGAACGAUGAAUCCCUUCGGGGUGUAAAGUUCUUUUAUAUGUGAGCAGUGCUUCUUAUAUUAACAGUAUGGGGAAGAGAUAUUAGCAUAUGAAUAAGCAACGGCUAACUCCGUGCCCAGCAGCCGCGGU